rnacentral:rRNA from 1 species
UACGUAGGUGGCGAGCGUUGUCCGGAUUUACUGGGCGUAAAGGGUGCGUAGGCGGACUUUUAAGUGAGAUGUGAAAUACCCGGGCUUAACUUGGGUGCUGCAUUUCAAACUGGAAGUCUAGAGUGCAGGAGAGGAAAGUGGAAUUCCUAGUGUAGCGGUGAAAUGCGUAGAGAUUAGGAAGAACACCAGUGGCGAAGGCGACUUUCUGGACUGUAACUGACGCUGAGGCACGAAAGCAUGGGUAGCAAACAGG